ensembl:snoRNA
UGGGUCAACAAUGACCACUGGUAGCCUAUGAGUCAUACAUCAUAAUUACAAUUCUAGAAGUCUGAGGUCCAC